CGCAGAGGCUGCUGCUUCGCCACUUGCUGCUUCGCCACGAAGGAGUUCCCGUGCCCUGGGAGCGGGUUCAGGACCGCGGAUCGGAAGCGACGUGCUCCCGGCGAAGGAGGCCGCCUGCCUGGGGGCGGGCUGGAGCCACGUCCCAGGGCUGGGGGCGCUGUGGGCACUGUGGGUGCCGCACCCACCGCUGCCCGGCACCGGAGGCCAAGAGAGCGUUCCCGACGGGCUCCGCGGAUGCCCCGCCGCGUCCUGCUGCCCAUCCUGCCCGGGUUGUCGCGGGCCGGGGGCACGACAAGAGGCCGGGGUCUGCCCGGACGCAGCGGCCUGCAGGGCGCAGCUGUCCCUCCACCAGCCGGGGUCCCCUCGCUCAGCCCAUGAGACAAAUAAAUGAAUACAUAAAUAAAUAAAUAAAUAAAA
ensembl:lncRNA novel transcript